UACAGAGGUCUCAAGCGUUGUUCGGAUUCAUUGGGCGUAAAGGGUGCGUAGGCGGCGCGGUAAGUCGGGUGUGAAAUUUCGAGGCUUAACUUCGAAACUGCAUUCGAUACUGCCGUGCUUGAGGACUGGAGAGGAGACUGGAAUUUACGGUGUAGCGGUGAAAUGCGUAGAUAUCGUAAGGAAGACCAGUGGCGAAGGCGGCAUCCUGGACCGGUAUUGACGCUGAGGCGCGAAAGCUAGGGGAGCAAACGGG
rnacentral:rRNA from 1 species